AGAGUGAACGCUGGCGGUAGGCCUAACACAUGCAAGUCGAACGGCAGCACAGUAGGAGCUUGCUCUUACGGGUGGCGAGUGGCGGACGGGUGAGGAAUACAUCGGAAUCUACCUUUUGGUGGGGGAUAACGUAGGGAAACUUACGCUAAUACCGCAUACGCCCUUCGGGGGAAAGCCGGGGACCAGCAAUGGCCUGGCGCUGAUAGAUGGACGCGAUGUCGAUUAGCUAGUUGGUGAGUAUGCUCACCGAAGCGA
rnacentral:rRNA from 1 species